UACGGAGGGUGCGAGCGUUGUUCGGAAUUACUGGGCGUAAAGCGCGCGUAGGCGGCUUUGUAAGUUAGAGGUGAAAGCCCAGGGCUUAACCCUGGAAUUGCCUUUAAGACUGCAUCGCUAGAAUCGUGGAGAGGUGAGUGGAAUUCCGAGUGUAGAGGUGAAAUUCGUAGAUAUUCGGAAGAACACCAGUGGCGAAGGCGACUCACUGGACACGUAUUGACGCUGAGGUGCGAAAGCGUGGGGAGCAAACAGG
rnacentral:rRNA from 1 species